UCGUGUUUGUAAGCAAUGUGCUUGAGGUCAUUGUCCUGCUGAAGGCUGGAGUACCAUGCAUUUAGUUUUUGAAGGUUGUUUAGAUCUGAGCAGAUGAUUCUAUACAGCGCACAAGUCAUCCUGGGUCUACCAUCAACUGUAACAUCAUUAACAAACUGUGACAAUAUUAGAAAGAAAAAAAGUUCCAGAAAUCUAAAUGCAUUGUGAGGUUUGAUAACUUCCAUUUCUUAAUCUUGAUAAAGUCUACAAAGGGAGCCUGAUGGUUUUUUUUUUAUUUAACCGCAGUUAUUGGCAACUCUAGUCCAGGUUUUUUUUUUGUUUUUGUUUUUUAAAACCUAUUACCACAUAAUUGCAUUAUUAUU